rnacentral:rRNA from 1 species
GACGAACGCUGGCGGCGUGCUUAACACAUGCAAGUCGAACGGAAAGGCCCUGCUUUUGUGGGGUGCUCGAGUGGCGAACGGGUGAGUAACACGUGAGUAACCUGCCCUUGACUUUGGGAUAACUUCAGGAAACUGGGGCUAAUACCGGAUAGGAGCUCCUGCUGCAUGGUGGGGGUUGGAAAGUUUCGGCGGUUGGGGAUGGACUCGCGGCUUAUCAGCUUGUUGGUGGGGUAGUGGCUUACCAAGGCUGUGACGGGUAGCCGGCCUGAGAGGGUGACCGGCCACAUGGGGACUGAGAUACGGCGCAGACUCCUACGGGAGGCAGCAGUGGGGAGUAUUGCACAAUGGGCGGAAGCCUGAUGCAGCGACGCCGCGUGCGGGAUGACGGCCUUCGGGUUGUAAACCGCUUUCGCCUGUGACGAAGCGUGAGUGACGGUAAUGAGUAAAGAAGCACCGGCUAACUACGUG